UAGCCUGAAGUGAUGAGUGUGGUUCAUGUCUCUUCUCUGAGAUUUACACUGGAGAUACUCCAAAGUCUCUGAUCAGGCAC
ensembl:snoRNA